UACAGAGGUCCCAAGCGUCGUUCGGAUUCACUGGGCGUAAAGGGUGCGUAGGUGGCCAGGUAAGUUUGGUGUGAAAGCUCGGAGCUUAACUCCGAAAAGUCAUUGAAUACUAUCUGGCUGGAGGGUCGGAGGGGAGACUGGAAUUCUCGGUGUAGCAGUGAAAUGCGUAGAUAUCGAGAGGAACACCAGUGGCGAAGGCGAGUCUCUGGACGACUCCUGACACUGAGGCACGAAAGCUAGGGGAGCAAACAGG
rnacentral:rRNA from 1 species